UACGUAGGGGGGCAAGCGUUGUCCGGAUUUAUUGGGCGUAAAGCGCGUGUAGGCGGCCAGAAAAGUCCGCUGUGAAAACUCGAGGCUCAACUUCGAGCUGUCGGUGGAAACUUCUGGCUAGAGUCCGGAAGAGGAGAAUGGAAUUCCUGGUGUAGCGGUGAAAUGCGCAGAUAUCAGGAAGAACACCCGUGGCGAAGGCGGUUCUCUGGGACGGUACUGACGCUGAGACGCGGAAAGCGUGGGGAGCGAACACGG
rnacentral:rRNA from 1 species